UUGACUCAUAUUUGAAUGAUUAAUUAUUUUAUCUAAUUACUUAAUACUUUAUUAUCAAUUGUUUAUCAUUUUUUUCACUUUCAUUAUUUUUUAAAUAUUAUUCUAUUCUCGUAAUUAUUUUUCAAAAUUAACAUGCUUUUAUUAUAAAUUAAACCAAUUCUCAUUUAAUUAGUAAAUAAAUAUUUUAAAAAAUAUAAAACAUUAUUUUAAAAUUGUAAAAUAAAUAUAUAAACAUCGAAUGUUGUUUAUUCUUAAAACACGGGAAGAAUUAAGGGUAAUAAAUAUGAAACCUCAACAUUGCAAAAUCCAGCACUGACCACCGAAAUCAUUAUCAUAUAAAAUGGAGGAAUUAGAUUUAAACGUCUACAGAUUUAAUUACUUAUACAAAUACAAAUACAAUCAAGCAAUUAUUUGCAAAAAAAAAAAAAAAAAAAAAAAACCUGAGCAGUGCUUCUAGCAAUGCUACGAGUAAUGUCAACUGUUUCAGGUAUUGAUAAAAAAUAAAGACGAAUAUAAUGAUUUAUUUAUACAAUUCAGUUUUUCUGUAUUUGUAGAGUUUUGUCUAAAGAGAUAAUUCAUUAUCUCAACACCUUAUACAACAAGUGAUUACAAGUUAUACACUCACCAGAUUAGCAACCACACUUUUGCAUUUAAGAUCUAUAUUUUUCUCUUUUAAGUUUUUUCCCUAAAAAUCUAGAAUGAAAACCAAGUAAUUAACCUUUUUCGCACUCAAAGCACUCACAAUAAAAUGUUCCUCAAUGAAAAAGUACGUUCCCUCAAAACUCAGUAUUUAUCAAUACAAAUCUCCUCAAUAUAGAAGCAAGUGAGACUUACUAACAUACUAGAUAAAUUAUAAUUAAUCUUCCUAUCAAAUUAAUAUGAUAAUAAGUAUGAUAAAUAUCUUCAAUAAGUCCAAGAUAAGCCUUCAAAUCCUCAGGAUAUAUUACCAAGUUUACUCAAUCCCAUCUAAUCUCUUAAAAAAAGGAAAGUCGAUUUGCUUAAUCCAAUCAAAACCAAUUCAAAAUAUUUCCGUCACAUGUUUAAAUAUCAUAGAUGAGCUUGCACACAGUCCCUCCUUAUAACUGCCAUAAUAAUAGUAUACAUAUACACAUACAUAUAGGUCUAAGGUAAAGGAACUAUACCCAAAGCCCAGAGAUUUUGGACUUCAAAUAUUACUAAGAUGAGCCUGAAACUUGGGCUUCACAGGCUAGCCUACUACUUUGUUGCUGGUUGGGUUUGCUUGAACCAGGUCACAUGUUUCUCAGGUCGAAUUUGACUCAUCUAGGUUUUUUCUAUACCCUAUCAAUUUUACACCAAAUUACUUUUUCUUUUUUAAUCUCAUUUUCUCUUAUUCAACUUAAAAGAAAAGCUUUCCCUUAUUUUCUCUCUUAAAAAAACCUAAAGACGCCCUACCCUCCUUAGUUCAUAUCACAUUCUUUCCGCUUCUUACCAAGGUGGCCAUAUCAUCAUCUCUUAUACAUACAUAUAUAUUCCUUAUUCAAUAUUAUUACACAUCAAUACUUUUCUUUAUUCAUCCAUUAACAAAUUCACAUUAGAAUUGUAUUAAACAUGUUUAACAUUUUUAUUGCUACAAUUUCCACUUUUAAUGCUAUUUCACUUCAUUGUGUCAAAUAAUUAUUUUUAGCACAUUUAUGACAUUUAAUCACUUAGAUACACUUUUCUCAUUAUACCACGUCAUUAAAAUAUCCGUAACACAUUACUAGCUCAUUUUCAUGGAAUUUAUGCCUAGACUUAUUAAUAUAACCAUUCGUAUUGCUAAAUAUCUCAACAUAUCAAGCUAUGGUUCUUAGCAUAUUAAUACACAUAAUUAAUUUAACCAUUUAAUCUAUUAAUUAUUCUUAUACAUUAUCAUGUUAUUAAAGGAAAGAUUAGAAAAUUCAAAAACACUUACCUCUUACAUGAACUAAAAUCAAAAUAAAGCUUUUCUCUUACAACCUCAACACUCAAGUCCACUUCUUUCAUAGCUUAAAUCUUUCUCUUCAACCAAUCUCUCUCCCCCAUCACAAAAAAAUACAUACAAAAAUCAUUACAAUUUGCUCAACCAACUUCCUUGCUCCCUACAUCACAAAUAUCAAAGAUGGAGAUGGUAGACUUAUUUUCUUACCUUACUAGGAGUUUUCUAUCUCUAGCCGUAUCUUUCUCUACUAGAGCCAUAAACCCUAGGUCUUGAAAUAAUGAGAUUGAUGGAGAAAUCAAGCUUGGAUGGAGUAUUCCUACUUAUUUUAAGUGAGAAAUAAAAUAUAUGGAAUGAUUUUUAGGCUAGGGCUUGAAGAAAAUGGGUGGGAGAAGAAAAGAGAAAGUCUCUUUUGUGGCGGCACACCAUAAAGGGGGAAGAAUAUGGGUUUCCCC
rnacentral:lncRNA from 1 species